rnacentral:rRNA from 1 species
UACGGGGGGGGCAAGCGUUGUUCGGAAUUACUGGGCGUAAAGGGCUCGUAGGCGGCCAACUAAGUCAGACGUGAAAUCCCCAGCUUAACCUGGGAACUGCGUCUGAUACUGGAUGGCUUGAAUUCGGGAGAGGGAUGCAGAAUUCCAGGUGUAGCGGUGAAAUGCGUAGAUAUCUGGAGGAAUACCGGUGGCGAAGGCGGCAUCCUGGACCGAGAUUGACGCUGAUGAGCGAAAGCUAGGGGAGCAAACGGGG